CCUCUUUGAAGAUGAAAACAAUUCAACAACCUUCUUCUCCAUGCCUUUCAGAAUGAAUUUCUUCUUCUCCCGGAUUUUUCUUUCAAUUCUUGGCUGAAGUUUCAAGCUGUGAUCACUCCAGCCACACGUCCUUCCCUGGCUGCUCCUCUGCGUGUGAUAAACUUCUCUCUGGAUCAUGGUUUCUUCAUCUGGAGAAUGAGGGAGUUGAACCACAUGUGUGUAAGAGUACCUCCUGCUUCUAUGAUACCUUUUCAAAUGGCUGAAUAUUUGGAAUAUCUUUCUUUAAGGGACCUCAGAAAAGCUCAAGACCCAAGGCUAAUUUUAUUAAUAAAGCCAGCCUUGUGGAAUCUCUAAGAAUUAAUCAUUAGACUCUUUUCAAAGUUAUCUAUUAAUGACCUGAAAAAAGACAAAGACAACCUCAUCUGAUGUGUGCAUAGCCCAAGGGAGAGGCAAUGGGAGAUAUUGUAAUGCAAUCUCCCAGACCCCAAAAAAGAUGCCGACAAACUAGAAUGAUGAGCUAGCUACAUUGGAGUGGAUUUUCCUUGUAGAGGAAAUUAAAUCUGAGCAGAAUCCUAAAAGAUACUUUUCCUGUGAAGAAAAUGAAGACAUUUAAGCUGUUGUAGGGAUUGGAAACACCGGGGAGACCUGAUUUCUGUCUUCAAAGUUGAGAAGGCCACAGAUCCCCCAUUUGGCAUCAUAAAGCACGCGCUCAUGGACAAAAGAAACCAGAUUCAACUGCAGAGUUACAGCCUGCAGUGGCAGUGGUAGUGACGGGCAUUGUGGUGAGACUGACGUUUGCUCUCAGUAAGGGACUUUGGACAGCAGGUGUGCCCUGCCAGGUUUCCUUCAUUAGGCAGGGGUUUCCAGAGGAGCUACUCUACCUGAGAAGCAAAAGUGACCAAGACAGAGGAACUUCUUCUCUCCUAAUCGUGCACUUCAGAGGAGGAGAUACAUGAUAGUACCCAGGUAAAUGCAUGCAUAAACAGCCCAUAAUAGUACAGAGAUAAACACAAGCAUAGAUAGUACAGAAUCAUAUAUAGGUAAGCACAUGCAUAUCCAGUAUAUAAUAGGACACA
rnacentral:lncRNA from 1 species